rnacentral:lncRNA from 1 species
GCGUAGUUAAGAUGACAAAAGCAACAUGCUUUAGUAGAUAUUUGUUGGAAACAAACGGAACAGGUUGAGUAGUCCAACCUUGGGUAGACCAUAGCACUCACCAUAGCACCUCAGAAUUUUUUUAUCACAAAAAAAGGGAAAAGGAAGUUCCAUUUGUGCAAGGGUCCUAAUAUAAAAUUUACUCUAUUUUGAAAAUACAUGUAGAAGCACUAACAUUUACGUCAAGAAGGAUGUGAAUAUUGCAUAUGAUUUUGCAUUGCUAUCCAUCACAACACAUACAUGACAAAGUGUCAUUUCAAAGUCGUCGAUCCAUCUUGAUUUGACGAGAGAACAAAAAAACGUGUAGCUCGAAAUCUACCUACCUCUGCUGGCACAACUGUGGUAGCACAUGCUUGGAUUCCUGAUACAUGUGUUCAAAUCUCUUUAAUA